rnacentral:tRNA from 1 species
ACCUGGGUGGCUCAGUCGGUUGGGUGUCUGACUCUUGAUCUCGGCUCAGGUCAUGAUCCCAGGGUCGUGGGAUCAAGCCCCAUUUCAGGUU